ACAACCUCAAUUUAAGUGAGAUUACCCGCUGAACUUAAGCAUAUCAGUUAGCGAAGGGAAAAGAUUCAUUUCCGGGGAUUUCCCUAGUAACGGCCGAAGUGAAAAA
rnacentral:rRNA from 1 species